UACGUAGGGCGCAAGCGUUGUCCGGAAUUAUUGGGCGUAAAGAGCUCGUAGGCGGCCAGUUGCGUCUGCUGUGAAAUCCCGGGGCUCAACCCCGGGCGUGCAGUGGAUACGGGCUGGCUAGAGGCAGGCAGGGGAGAACGGAAUUCCCGGUGUAGCGGUGAAAUGCGCAGAUAUCGGGAGGAACACCGGUGGCGAAAGCGGCUCACUGGACCAUAACUGACGCUGAUGCACGAAAGCUAGGGGAGCAAACAGG
rnacentral:rRNA from 1 species